rnacentral:rRNA from 1 species
UAUUGCCCCAGUAACGGCGAGUGAAGCGGCAAGAGCUCAAAUUUGAAAGCUGGCUCCUUCGGGGUCCGCAUUGUAAUUUGUAGAGGAUGCUUCGGGAGCGGUCCCCAUCUAAGUGCCCUGGAACGGGACGUCAUAGAGGGUGAGAAUCCCGUAUGGGAUGGGGUGUCCGCGCCCGUGUGAAGCUCCUUCGACGAGUCGAGUUGUUUGGGAAUGCAGCUCUAAAUGGGUGGUAAAUUUCAUCUAAAGCUAAAUAUUGGCCGGAGACCGAUAGCGCACAAGUAGAGUGAUCGAAAGAUGAAAAGCACUUUGAAAAGAGAGUUAAAAAGCACGUGAAAUUGUUGAAAGGGAAGCGCUUGCGACCAGACUCGCUCGCGGGGUUCAGCCGGCAUUCGUGCCGGUGUACUUCCCCGCGGGCGGGCCAGCGUCGGUUUGGGCGGUCGGUCAAAGGCCCUCGGAAGGUAACGCCCCUAGGGGCGUCUUAUAGCCGAGGGUGCAAUGCGACCUGCCUAGACCGAGGAACGCGCUUCGGCUCGGACGCUGGCAUAAUGGUCGUAAACGACCCGUCUUGAA